GUUUCAUUUUAGCCUUAGGUUUUUAAAAAAGAAGAAGAAAAAAACAGUCUUUCUCUCCUUCCUUGUAGCCUUUUGUUUGGCCGACCAAGGAAGGCAUCGUCCCACCGCCGCACCGCCAUUGAACACGACGGUCGACGACGCGCGAGGGCGGGCUUUAAGCCGUGUUUCAAGGCGUCCCCGAAGGCUGAGCCUUCUCAGCCCAAAAGUUGCGAAAGAAAAAGUCUUCCCCUCCUUAUUCGGCCCGAUCCCGACGACGAAGGAAAACCCUCCGGCGACGAGAUGACGAGCGAUUCCGGUGUUAGAGGUGUGAAAAGCCGGUGGUUGGCUGGUGAGAAGGCGAGGCGGCGCACGUGGGGGCUGAGCGGCUGCUGCAUCUUGGGGAAGGGUUUGCUGCUGAAAAAUCUUAAGCAAGUGGGCUAUUAUUUGGGCUAGGGUUUGAUGUAAAUUGGGCUAUUUAAUAUUGUAAAUGGGCUAUUUAUUUUGGACUCUUUUUUAUUGUUUUGGGUUUUGUUAUAUUUUGUUGGCCAGGCCAAAAUUGGUUAUAACAACCAUGUUGAACAUAGGCUAACAAUAUAUUAGCUCUUAGAAAGGCUAAAUUAAUUUUGUAGCACCAAGAUUGGUUCGUUUCAUUACCAACAAGAAAAAUGUAUUUUAUUCCAAAAGAUAAUAUGCAUUGUUGUAUUGUCUACUGGACUAA